AUUGAACGCUGGCGGCGUGCUUAACACAUGCAAGUCGAACGAGAACGGGAUAUAGCUUGCUAUAUUUGUCAGCUAAGUGGCGCACGGGUGAGUAAUGUAUAGAUAACCUGCCCACUAGAAAGGAAUAACAGUUGGAAACGCAUGCAAAUGCCCUAUAUGCUUUUAAUACAUAAGUAUGGAAGGGAAACGCUUUAGUGCUAGAGGAUGGGGUAGUAUGGUAUCAGCUUGUUGGUGAGGUAAUGGCUCACCAAGGCUAUGACGCCUAACUGGUUUGAGAGGAUGAUCAGUCACACUGUAACUGAGACACGGUCCAGACUCCUACGGGAGGCAGCAGUGGGGAAUAUUACACAAUGGACGAAAGUCUGAUGCAGCAACGCCGCGUGGAGGAUGACACAUUUCGGUGCGUAAACUCCUUUUAUAUAGGAAGAUAAUGACGGUACUAUAUGAAUAAGCACCGGCUAACUCCGUGCCAGCCGCCGCAGUAA
rnacentral:rRNA from 1 species